CCUACGGGUGGCAGCAGUCGAGAAUCAUUCACAAUGGGGGAAACCCUGAUGGUGCGACGCCGCGUGGGGGAAUGAAGGUCUUCGGAUUGUAAACCCCUGUCAUGUGGGAGCAAAUUAAAAAGAUAGUACCACAAGAGGAAGAGACGGCUAACUCUGUGCCAGCAGCCGCGGUAAUACAGAGGUCUCAAGCGUUGUUCGGAAACACUGGGCGUAAAGCGUGCGUAGGCUGUUUCGUAAGUCAUGUGUGAAAGGCGCGGGCUCAACCCGCGGAAGGCACAUGAUACUGCGAGACUAGAGUAAGGGAGGGGGAACCGGAAUUCGCGGUGUAGCAGUGAAAUGCGUAGAUAUCGAGAGGAACACUCGUGGCGAAGGCGGGUUCCUGGACAUUAACUGACGCUGAGGCACGAAGGCCAGGGGAGCGAAAGGGAUUAGAUACCCGAGUAGUC
rnacentral:rRNA from 1 species